UUACUGAAAGAUUGGGCCCACAUGUUUUGAUUGCAGCCGUGACCUAUUUCCUCAAGGAAUCUUGAGCAGUCUUUGAAAAAAAAAGCACUCAACAUCAUAAACAAAAUGAUUGUGAGCUUCGGGUGCAGUGGGCGGCGGACGUGCAGGCUCUCCCUCUCAGUCUGGAGGCUAAUUUGAUUGCAACAAACAAGAGAGAGAGCAAAGUCUCCAAGGAGCCGAAUGAUCCACUGGUUAAUAGGACGAGAGCAGUGACCACCCAUGCAGUCAAAUCCAAGAUCUCAAUAAUAUUUGGUCGUAGGCGAUUGAAUGUCUUCGUCAGGUUUUUCAUUUGACUUCUACAAGCAGCCCAUGUGCCCAAUCUCCUGACCAGCCCUGAAGAUGCUGCCUCAGGAUGGGAGUAUGGAUCAAUGGCGAGCUGAGGAGAAUCUUUGACCGUGACCUCUACACUGUGAAUAUGCUGCCUGACUUGAGUUUCAUGUGUUUAGAAAGCUUGGGUCUAAAGUCAAAUUGGCACCAUCAGAACCCAGACCGUGCCAGAUUUCAGAUUCUGCCACAUUUUUGGACUGCCAGCAGGUGGAACAGAUUCUGUUCCAUUCAAGGAAGUCUGAUUGUCAUCAGUUGAAAAUUAUAGGACUCUCUCUCUGCUGCAUGAUGAAUGCUAGCCUACACCCCUCUUGCUGUGAUUGUAGGGGUUCCUGGCAUCGUGAUUUAAUGAUUAAAUAAAAGUGAAAAAUCACAUUGCCAGGGAUUACCACACAGUUGCAGGCACAUUCCAGCUCACUCACUAACUUCCAUUAAUCAUCAUCAUGCUGGGCGUGUUUCAGGAAUAGCAAAAUGUCCCAAAGUCCUUCAGGGAAGUGUCACCAAACAAAAUUUGAAUUUGAGAUAUCAUUUGUCGCAUAUAAUAGGCCUCAGGUAAAGAUGACUUUUUUUCAUUCGUUCACAGGAUGAGGGCAUCACUGGUCAGGCCAGCAUUUAUUGCCCAUCCCUAAUUGCCCAGAGGGCAAUUAUGAGUCAACCACAUUGCUGUGGGUCUGGAGUCACAUGUAGGCCAGACCAGGCAAGGAUUCUUUCCCUAAAGGACAUUAGUGAACCAGAGCUGGGUUUUUCCCAACAACCAGCAAAUUCCACCAGCUGCUGUGCAGUAUUCAAACCCAGAUCCCCAGAAUAUUACUUGGAUCUCUGGAUUAAAAUCCAGCGAUAAUGCCACUAGGCCAUUGCCUCCAUAUUUUAGGGAAGGAGAGUUGCUAAGCUUGUGAGAGAGAGAGAGAUAAAGCAAUGGAAAGGUUUUUGGAGGGGGAAAGGGUUAGAUCCCUACAGUAUGGAAACAGGCCUGUUGGCCUGUGUUACUGAGAACUCUGACAACAAGGAUAUUACACUUGAAGAGUAAUGCCUUCCCGUUAUAUAAGUCACAGGAGCUGAGAUCAUUAGCUUCUUGUUGUUGUCAUCCAACACCCAGCAGGGACCAAGCAUUAUUUUUACUUUUUGUUUGAAAGAUAUAGACAAAUCCACUUCUGUAACCAAGUGAAAGUCAGGUCAAUAUUUCUGAAAGGAGAUCAAGUCACCCCACAGCUCAUCUUCAUUCUGGUUUUGUGAAAAGUUAACAACUUUCAGAUUUAGUUUUCUAAUUUCAAAUAUACUUUAUUCAUAAAUCAUCUGUUAGUACAUA